rnacentral:tRNA from 1 species
GCCCGAGUGGUGGAAUUGGUAGACACGCAGGACUUAAAAUCCUGUGGCCAGUAUUGGCCGUGCCGGUUCGAGCCCGGCCUCGGGUA